AUAAUACUCCCUCCGUUCGGAAUUACUUGUCCCGAAAAUGGAUGUAUCUAGACGUAUUUUAGUUCUAAAUACAUCCAUUUCCGAGACAAGUAAUUCCGAACGGAGGGAGUUUAAG
rfam:Triticum aestivum genome assembly, contig: Triticum_aestivum_CS42_TGACv1_scaffold_592189_7BS